UCGGGAAUUUUGGGCAAUGGGCGAAAGCCUGACCCAGCAACGCCGCGUGAAGGAUGAAGUAUUUCGGUGUGUAAACUUCGUAAGAAUAGGAAGAAUAAAUGACGGUACUAUUUGUAAGGUCCGGCUAACUACGUGCCAGCAGCCGCGGUAAUACGUAGGGACCAAGCGUUGUUCGGAUUUACUGGGCGUAAAGGGCGCGUAGGCGGCGUGGUAAGUCAUCUGUGAAAUCUCCGAGCUUAACUCGGAACGGUCAGAUGAUACUGCUGUGCUAGAGUACAGAAGGGGCAAUCGGAAUUCUUGGUGUAGCGGUGAAAUGCGUAGAUAUCAAGAGGAACACCUGAGGUGAAGACGGGUUGCUGGGCUGAUACUGACGCUGAGGCGCGAAAGCUAGGGUAGCAAACGGGAUUAGAUACCCAAGUAGUCCCUGAGCGGGCUGGCAAGGCGCAU
rnacentral:rRNA from 1 species